rnacentral:rRNA from 1 species
CCUACGGGAGGCUGCAGUGGGGAAUAUUGCACAAUGGGGGAAACCCUGAUGCAGCGACGCCGCGUGAGUGAAGAAGUAAUUCGUUAUGUAAAGCUCUAUCAGUAGGGAAGAAAAUGACGGUAACUGAGUAAGAAGCCCCGGCUAACUACGUGCCAGCAGCCGCGGUAAUACGUAGGGGGCAAGCGUUAUCCGGAUUUACUGGGUGGAAAGGGAGCGUAGACGGCAGUGCAAGUCUGGGGUGAAAGGCGGGGGCUCAACCCCCGGACUGCUCUGGAAACUGUACGGCUGGAGUGCAGGAGAGGUAAGUGGAAUUCCUAGUGUAGCGGUGAAAUGCGUAGAUAUUAGGAGGAACACCAGUGGCGAAGGCGGCUUACUGGACUGUAACUGACGUUGAGGCUCGAAAGCGUGGGGAGCAAACAGGAUUAGAUACCCCUGUAGUC